GACAGUGUCAGGCGGGGAGUUUGACUGGGGCGGUACAUCUGUUAAAUAAUAACGCAGGUGUCCUAAGGUUAGCUCAGUGAGCACAGAAACCUCACGUAGAGUAAAAGGGCAAAAGCUAACUUGAUCUAUGACCUUNAGUACUGGUAUAGACCGCGAAAGCGUGGCCUAUCGAUCCUUUUGUUGUUGUUAAACGGUUGACAGUUUCAAGUAAGAGGUGUCAGAAAAGUUACCACAGGGAUAACUGGUAGCGCUAAGGCUUAAUGUGGUUGUCGCAAGGCAAUCGUUGAAAAGCAUUGAGCGGUGCAGCGUUACAAACUCUGAUGGAUAGUGGUGUCAAUGUGAUGUUGAGUGCUACACUCAGGUGUGGUUAUUGAGCAUUGCUUUCGGCCUAGCGUACAAGUCCCAUUGACUUGGGCUUAUUCUUAAUUGAGAUGUCUACGGGUUUGGGGCAACUUGGAUCCGUGGAUGAGCCAUAGAGGGUGAAAGUCCCUUAAUGCGCAGGUAUUGAUGCUACGAAUCGGAGCAGUGGUGUCUGGUAAAACAGGCGCUGCGAUUUGUUAGAGUCGGGUUGCUUGAGAGUGCAACCUAAAGAGCGAGGUAAACUGCUCGUAAGGCUAUUGUUAAAUACGGCUACGACACCGAUAGCAAACAAGUACCGUGAGGGAAAGUUGCAAAGUACUUUGAAGAGAGAGUUAAACAGGGCGUGAAACCGCUAGCUGGUAAAACCCGUCUUGAAACACGGACCAAGGAGUGUAGGAGGGUUGUGUUGGUAGCGUUGAAGGCUAUGAGGGAGUGAUCCUGGCUGGAGCUGCCAAUAGUACAGAUCUUGGUGGUAGUAGCAAAUACUCAAGUGAGACCCUUGAGGGCCAAUGUGGAGAAGGGUUCCAUGCUAACAGCAAUUGGACAUGGGUCAGUCGGUGAAUUAGGUUAAUAUUCCUAAACCAAGAUGGGGAGAUGGCACGGACCACGGGAAUCCGACUGUCUAAUUAAAACAAAGCAUUGCGAUGGCCUAAGAUUGUGGUGUUGACGCAAUGUGAUUUCUGCCCAGUGCUAUGAAUGUCACAGUGAAGAAAUUCAUCUAAGCGCUAGUAAACGGCGGGAGUAACUAUGACUCUCUUGUGGUAGCCAAAUGCCUCGUCAUCUAAUUAGUGACGCGCAUGAAUGGAUUAACGAGAUUCCCACUGUCCCUAUCUACUACCUAGCGAAACCACAGCCAAGGGAACGGGCUUGGCAAAAUCAGCGGGGAAAGAAGACCCUGUUGAGCUUGACUCUAGUCUGGCUUUACGCGGAGUAUAGCAUGUGUGUUGUCUUUAACCGGGCAGCGUGUGUGUUAUGCGUUGCGAGUGGAGCCACGAAGUCGUUUCGUAGAAUACGAGGCGCAAAUUCAGCUGUGGUCCCUUGAAAGGGGGCUGUAGCGUAUUUUUGCUUGUCUCGCUACUGUAAGCGUACACUGCAACCAAUUAGACGGCCAAUCGUGGAAACAGUUUACAAGUUGACAGGGAAACUUGUUGCUUGUAAGCGACCAAAUUUGUGUAUCUACUGUGUAGGUAGCCUGUCUUUGUGCACAACACUUCGGUUUUGUGCACGAUUCUGGGUGUCUGACACAAGAUGCGUGAACUACGAUUGGGUACUGAUUGGCACAAUGAAAAUCGAAUCGCAAGAUUCGUAUGUCCAUAUAAAGCGGCUAGUAUCGUAUUUGGGUACAAUUGCGCGCUGCCAGUAUAAGCUUGAUAUUUUUGAAUUCAGGCACGUAUAUUGUUAGUGGGCUUGCUCGUUGACAUAUACGCUGUCUCCUGUCUAAUCGGCUAUUAACUUUGCUGGUAGUUUUGUGUAGUUGCUACGAUAGCACUGAAUACGAUAGCUAGUUUGCAAUGAUUAGCAGUGAGUAGGUCGGCUUUCCACACGCGUUGAAUUAUCGUUCGUACAUACAUGCGAUUAGUUAUGAUUCAACGCCUAAGAGAAUGGCGAAAGCUAUUUCUGAAUCAAAGGCAGUGUAAGCAAAACAUGAAACAUAUUUAUGCCAUAUAUUUUUGUUUUUCGUGUAUUUGUGCAUUUUUACUUGUGUGUUGUGUGUAAAAGCUAAAAGUGCAUGAUGCUGAUAUGAGUGUGUGUAAAUGUGUGUGUGAGCGUUGUGCUUAAUGUCACCUUUGAACACGCUCGUGUGUGUGUGCAAAUACGCAUACACAUAUGUGUGCGUGUACGCGCACUCACUAUCUCAUACUCACACAUAUAUAUAUACACACACACACACUAAUCAAAUCAAGCACGCAAAUUAAGCAUACACAGAAAAUGUGAGUAUAAACAAAAUAAACAAUAACGACUAACAAUAUAUAUUAUAUGGUAUGUACACAAAUAUGAACACUGUAUGACUCGAAAGGUGAUAUUUGUGCGGUUAUUCUUUUAGCUGUGCAAGCAUCAUUGGCGGUAACGCAAACAAGGCUCUGAGGAUCGAGUUGGUCGGGCUGUCAGCGAGAUACUUUCAUGAGUUUGUCAUCUGUACUGAUGGUUUGGUUGCACAAAUGUGUAUGUUCGCAUGCGUGCUUGUGCUGACUUUUCCAAUCGGAAUGGAUCGCUCGUUUGUUGAUCGCUACAGCUACGUUGGUGAGUGUUCAAGUAUGCUUUUGUGUGCUUGGAUGCUUGUCGUUUAAAAGCGUCAUCGGCCAACAACUAACGAUCGAAUCAGAACUCAAGCUCUCGCACAAAUGUGAAUCAGUUUCAUCUGGUAAAGCGAAUGAUUAGAGGUCUUGGGAGCGAAACGCUCUCAACCUAUUCUCAAACUUUAAAUGGGUGAGAUGCACGACGUACUUAAACACACUAAUGACGCCGUGUGCUAUAAACACAGAAUGUAUUGAGAGCUUAGUGGGCCAUUUUUGGUAAGCAGAACUGGCGAUGCGGGAUGAACCGAAAGUGAAGUUAAGGUUGCCGAUAAUGGUGCUAACAAUUUGUGCACUAGCUACACUCAUGAGAUCCCAUGAAAGGUGUAAGUUGCUAAAGACAGCAAGGACGUGGCCAUGGAAGUCGGAAACAUCUAAGGAGUGUGUAACAACUCACUUGCCGAAGCAACUUGCCCUGAAAAUGGAAGCAGCUCGAGUGUUGAACCUAUACUUCACUCUAGUUAAGUAUCGAGUCGAUCGGUCUUGAUUAGGCCAGACAUUGAAGGUUGUUGUCCGUAAAACAGGCAACAAUAUUUAGCUUCAAAUAUGUAAAAUAAUGACGGCACAGUGAAAUCAAAUUAUAUGUGAUCUGAGGUCUAUAAAAAUGGCCUACAGCGCAACAUAUGCCCACUCGUAUGGUUAUACGCGCAAGUGUUAACUGGGUGGAGCAAAGAGAUACUUGACUGGUAUUCUCCCACUUGGCCGUACCCAUAUCCGCAGCAGGUCUCCAAGGUUAACAGCCUCUGGUCACUUAGGAUAAUGUAGGUAAGGGAAGUCGGCAAAACGGAUCCGUAACUUCGGGAUAAGGAUUGUGAAGAGACAUGAGAGGUGUAGCAUAGGUGGGAGAUGUGUGUAUUCUGUAUGCGCAUCGAAAGUGAAAUACCACUACUUUCAUUGUUUCUUUACUGA
rnacentral:rRNA from 1 species